rnacentral:rRNA from 1 species
AUACGGAAGGCAGCAGUAAGGAAUAUUGGUCAAUGGGCGAGAGCCUGAACCAGCCAUGCCGCGUGCAGGAAGACGGCCCUCUGGGUUGUAAACUGCUUUUACCCGGGAAUAAACCUGCCUUCGUGAAGGCAGCUGAACGUACCGGGGGAAUAAGGAUCGGCUAACUCCGUGCCAGCAGCCGCGGUAAUACGGAGGAUCCAAGCGUUAUCCGGAUUUAUUGGGUUUAAAGGGUGCGUAGGCGGCCUGUUAAGUCAGGGGUGAAAGACGGUAGCUCAACUAUCGCAGUGCCCUUGAUACUGAUGGGCUUGAAUGGACUAGAGGUAGGCGGAAUGUGACAAGUAGCGGUGAAAUGCAUAGAUAUGUCACAGAACACCGAUUGCGAAGGCAGCUUACUAUGGUCCUAUUGACGCUGAGGCACGAAAGCGUGGGGAUCAAACAGGAUUAGAUACCCCGGUAGA